ACUAAAAGUUAUUAUGCUCGUUCAGGGGCUCCUCAGACUAAGACACGUCUAAGAGCUCUGCUCUCUCAGUCAACAUUCACGGGGGAGACAUCUCCCGUCACGCAGGGUGCAGUCGCACCUCCACAGAUCUCCAGUAUCAGCUCUUGAUACUGGUAAUGGCUCAAAAGGGCCACCACUUACGGGCUAUUCAUGCCCGUGCCACCUUUUGGGUGGCUUAAUCUUCAUCAAUCAAUCAGUCAACAUUCAUCCAUCAUCCUGUUCGCUAGUUCCCCUCAGCCUGUUCACAUCUCCCAUCAAUAUGGCUCUUUGCCCCUUGUGUUUCUAGCCACUUAACAACGAAAUAGGGCAUGCAUGUGAAACGAAUUGCGUUUCAUGCGCAAAGAAAAUGUCCAUCAACCCCUUACGAGAAUAUCGCUUAUAUUGUAUACAGUGCAACGGACCUACAUAACCAGGACAUUCCGACGUUACCUGCGCUAGCGGCGGGCAAUUGUAUUUUGCAAAUCAAAUGUGGAUGCGAAAAAUCAAGUGUUCCCUCCCCCGAGUAUGAUGAGGCGGAUCAAGGUGGGAGAUGAAGGGUCGUCUACCUGGAUAUCAUAUUAAAAGAUGAGGACUAAACAAGACGGAUAUUAUACAAGUGGAUUAAAGAGCGACCUUCGUUUAACAUCAGGAUAAAUGACUCGUUUAUUAUAACUUAUUUAUAACUUGUGUAAACUGAAAUUAGAUGAAUAAAUAAAAAUAUAAAUAAAUAAAUACGUUUCAUUAGUCCUUAUUGAAUAUAUAAAUUAUUACGGUGGUAAACGCUGGCAAUGACUGAAGGACGGCGGACAGGUAGUGUAAUGUCAGGUGUUGAAUGCCUCGAGGCAACUUAAUAAGUCAGGUGUUGAAGGCUUGUGGGACAUAUUGAGAUGUCUCGCUUGGUUUGUGUAAAACAGACCUGAUAUAUAGUUUUGGUGUAAAGGAACUAACAUUACGAUGUCUAAAAUAUAAAUGGCUGUACGGAAAUAUGAACGAUGAAAGACAAGGUAAGGUCGGAAACGGGUAGGGUGGUGUCUUUCAAGUAGAAAGACAGUACCUGUUA